rnacentral:rRNA from 1 species
CACGUAGGGCGCAAGCGUUGUCCGGAAUUAUUGGGCGUAAAGAGCUCGUAGGCGGUCUGUUGCGUCCGCUGUGAAAACUCGGGGCUUAACCCCGAGCCUGCAGUGGAUACGGGCAGACUAGAGGUAGGUAGGGGAGAAUGGAAUUCCCGGUGUAGCGGUGAAAUGCGCAGAUAUCGGGAGGAACACCAGUGGCGAAGGCGGCGAUCUGGGAAGAUACUGACGCUGAGGUGCGAAAGCGUGGGGAGCAAACAGG